rnacentral:sRNA from 1 species
AAAGUCCAGUCUCGAAAGCAGGAACGGAUGCGUGUUUACACGCAAAUCCGUGGAUGCUAUCGAGACGACAACAUGUAUGAGUGUGUAGGGCGAUAGCCCGGAACACGAAUGCAUGUAGCAUGGCGGGAACGCGAAGCGUGAAGCCAUGCGCGGGACUUA